ACCAGCAGCCCCGCGCCCUGCGCAGUGCCAGAGCUGCCCGUCCAGUCCCAUCCCGUCCCGUCCCAUCCCAACCUGUCCCGGGCACCCCCGAGCCCCCUUGCCCGCAGCGGGGAGGGGUCUCCGGCCGCGGGCGUGCCGGUGGCCGCGGGCUGGAAGUGGGAGGGAGCCGGGCCGGAGGGGGGCACGUCCCGGGAGAGGGGUGGGGAGAGCCGGCGGCGAGCCGGACUGCGCCGCAACGCCCCUCGCUAUAAAGCCGGGGGCCGCGCAGCGGAGCGAGAGGAGUGGUACGGCCGGGGAGGGAGAGCGGGGCGAGCCCAGCACGGGGCCGUGCCGUCCGGUCCCGUCCCGUCCCGUCCCGUCCGGGCCAGCCGCCGCCGAGACAGGCACAGAAAAUGGGUAAUAACUGAAGACUACCUCACAGCAGGAAAGAGCGAUCAGAUUGGCAAUGCAUCACUGAAUGGCAUGACUGAAGACAAGACAAAGAGCGGGCUACAACACAAGGUCAUAAAAAAAUAUCAGAUACUGAUCAAUUGUUUUCUGUUGGUACCUAAUAAUCAGUAG
rnacentral:lncRNA from 1 species